AGCAAUGUUUGUGAGCUAGAUUUGGUAUUUAACUUUCACAAGGUUUAUCUGAUACUUGAUGAAUUUAUUCUUGCUGGGGAGCUCCAAGAAACAAGCAAGAAGGCAAUAAUAGAAAGAAUGGGCGAAUUGGAGAAGCUCGAGUAGACAUCUGAUUUGUAGUUGAGAGCAUUUAGAGAUUUCAUUUUUCAUUUUCUUAUUCUUUUCCCCCACCUUGUUUUGUUCCAGUUCUGCAUUUAUUUGUUUGCUCACUUGGGACAGCCAGUUCUUCCCUUGUAAUAUUUGAAAAAUUAAAGCCUGAAAAUUUCAUAUGUACAUCGCCCUUGGUGUUUGGAACAAUGGGGCUAAUCAUUUAUUAU
rnacentral:misc_RNA from 1 species